rnacentral:lncRNA from 1 species
UGGGUAAUGUUGGUCUUUAGUUGGUGCUCAAAUGUGAAUGAUACCAGGACCACACUUUCUUAAACUUUUGUGGGUUCUUCGGUAAAUAUUUACUGCAGUGAAAUCUCUGCUUCUCAUUUUAACCAUCUUUUAUAUCAAGAUGUGAAAGGCAUCAUGUUUUCUCAGUAAGAGGACUCACAUGCUUGGUUUGUUUCCCUGUCUUCCCCCAGUGGUUUUUUUUUUUCUUUUCUUUUCUCUCUGUCUCUUACACACAAACACAAUUUUCCGAUAGAUUCUGUUAGGACCAAGAAACAAUAGCUGAUCAUUGUGGGAUCCUCAGACCUGUGAGAUGAUGUAAUCUUCCUUUGCUCCUACCUGUCCUGUACUUGGCACAGCCUUGCUUCUAGAAGUUUCCUCUAGUAAAUUCAUUUCAUGGAUGCUGAGAGAACCAUCGCCUGUUAUUGACUCUUGCUUCUCAGAAACCUACAGUUCUCCUCGUAAUGGAGCAGUCUUCACAGCACUGUUCGUGUGACCCUCCUAUGACAGUCAUGGCAGGAAAGGAAAGCAGAAAGCUUCUGCAGUACUCAGCUGGGUCAAGGUAGAACUUCAAAGACCAAGCAGAAAGCUUCUGCAGUACUCAGCUGGGUCAAGGUAGAACUUCAAAGACCAAGCAGAAAGCUUCUGCAGUACUCAGCUGGGUCAAGGUAGAACUUCAAAGACCAAGCAGAAAGCUUCUGCAGUACUCAGCUGGGUCAAAGACCAGCUGCACUGGAGAAGAUGGC